CAGGAUUUUUAAACCUUCCUUUUGCGUUUGUGUUUUAGGAAAGAAGGACGAAGAAAUAUCUCGUGAAUUUUUAUUUUGAAAAUUUGCUUUUAAAUAAUAUCUUCACCCCUGUUUCUGACUAGAAAACAAAGGAAAGAAGGACGAAAACAUUUCGUGACUUUUCAUUUUGAAAAUUUGCUUUGAAAAAAAUAUCACCACUGUUUCUGACUAGAUAAUACAGCCAUGGCUGCUGUUAGUUCAUGCCCAAAAACUAAAGCCGAAUUUUUUAAAGCAUCUGAAAGGAUAGGAUGUGGUAAUGAUAUCAAUGGUCACAACCAGUACAUCUGCAUUCCUAAUCAAGAGAAGACGUCUUUGGUAGAAUUAUGUUAUAAUGAAAUAAUGGGAGUACGGGAAAAAGGAAAUUGUCUAGAGGCUACCGUCGGAAAGGUGAUCGAACAUACCUGUGAGAAUUUUGUGUCUGGAUGCCCAAAUGAAACUUUUUUUGAUUAUGGAUUCUAUAAAUAUCCUGCAUGUCAAAAUAUCAACACAAAAGACAACUGCUAUGUUAUGGAUCCCUCUUGUCCAUUCGUUUUGCCUGAUGACAUUAGAUGUACGAACAGCGAUGAUGCCAUUUUUUAUGCAUGCAGCAUUUUAGGAGGUGUUAUCGUUCUUUUGAUUGCUGUUUUAAUUAUCAUCAUCAUACGAUGGAGGGAAAAAAAAUGUCCAUGCU